AACGAACGCUGGCGGCAGGCUUAACACAUGCAAGUCGAACGCAUCCUUCGGGGUGAGUGGCAGACGGGUGAGUAACGCGUGGGAACGUGCCCUUCAGUUCGGGAUAACCCAGGGAAACUUGGGCUAAUACCGGAUACGUGCGAGAGCAGAAAGAUUUAUCGCUGAAGGAUCGGCCCGCGUCUGAUUAGCUAGUUGGUGGGGUAAUGGCCCACCAAGGCGACGAUCAGUAGCUGGUCUGAGAGGAUGAUCAGCCACAUUGGGACUGAGACACGGCCCAAACUCCUACGGGAGGCAGCAGUGGGGAAUAUUGGACAAUGGGCGCAAGCUUGAUCCAGCCAUGCCGCGUGAGUGAUGAAGGCCUUAGGGUUGUAAAGCUCUUUCGUCCGGGACGAUAAUGACGGUACCGGAAGAAGAAGCCCCGGCUAACUUCGUGCCAGCAGCCGCAGUAA
rnacentral:rRNA from 1 species